rnacentral:lncRNA from 1 species
UUUCACAGACGAUUGUUUCUUUUCUGUGACACUGUUUGCUACUUACUAGCUAUGUAAUGCUGGGCAAGUUGCUGAAACCUCUGCCCUUCUGUUGCCUUGUCAGUACAAUGAGUAUAACAGUCGUAACUGCAUUGUGGAGAUUAUGUGAAGUAAUGCACGUAAGCAUAUAACACAGUGCUUGGCACAUAUUGAUAUUCAAUAAAUGUUAGCUAUUAAUUAUUGCAUAUUUUCAUAGGCAAUAUCGAAUAUGAGGAUUGUAAGAUGGACUGUGCUGGAAUGCCUAGACUGUGGAGUUGUGGAGGAGGAGUCAGCCCUCACCCAUUCUGCGACCUUGCAACAGGAUUCUCAACCACUCUGGGCCGCCUUUUCCUGAUACCGCAGCCCUGCUAGUUUAUUCUCCCCGUGGUGCCAUGAAGUGUGUUCAAUCGUCCCCAUUUUAUGAGGAGGAUACUGAGGCUUGGAGAAGAGCAUCUUUUGACUUUGCUAAUUUCUGGAUAUCAUGUGGGGCCUUCCAUGAAAGAGUCAAAUAUUUGGGAAGCCAGCCAUCAAAGGGAGGAAGUGCAGGUAUGUGAAGUAAGCGGAUUGCCCUGCCAUGGGGUAUCAUUUCCCCGUCAGCUCUGCCCUCUCCCAGGACACGUGUUCUCUGCCAUGCACUCGGUCUUGCCAGUGCUCUCUGGAACUGCAUUUUCCAGGACUCCAUUACUCCCCAAGCAUACAAAUGUCUCUCCUUCAUUUUUCCUGUUAACCAGAUUUAAAGAAUUAACUAGGAAUCUUGGCCACCAUUAA